GACGAACGCUGGCGGCGUGCCUAAUACAUGCAAGUCGAGCGAUGAGGAUUGGUGCUUGCGCCGAUUUGAAGAGCCGCGAACGGGUGAGUAACGCGUGGGGAAUCUGCCUUUGAGCGGGGGACAACAUUUGGACACGAAUGCUAAUACCGCAUAAUAACUUUAAACAUAGGGUUUAAGUGUGAAAGAUGCAAUUGCAUCACUCACAGAUGAUCCCGCGUUGUGUUAGCUAGUUGGUGAGGUAAAGGCGCACCAAGGCGAUGAUACAUAGCCGAACUGAGAGGGCGGGCAGCCGCAUUGGGAGUGAGACCCGGCACAAAGGCCCUCGGGAGGCGGCAGGAGGGAUACGUGGGGCAUGGGUGAAAGUCUGAGCGCGCUACGCCGAGGGAGGGUAGAAGGUCGUCGGGUCGUAAAAGUCGGUCUGUGGGGAAGAACGCGCGUGCGAGUGUAAAGCACAGCAAGUGACGGUAACUAGUCAGAAAGGGCCGGCUAACUACGUG
rnacentral:rRNA from 1 species